AUACACUCGAAGCUGAAAAUGAAAGCAUACAAGUCAAAUGCAUCUAAAAAAAUUAUAAAAAUAGAUGUAUCAAUCUUUGUAUGGUUCAUUAGACACUGCAGUUAAUACAAUCAUAUGACCAGUGGUCACUAGUGGCAUAUUUAUACUAGGUCUGUUUCUGCUGUGUGUCACUAGUGGCAUAUUUAUACUAGGUCUGUUUCUGCUGUGUGUAACACUAAGAGCAGCCAUCUUCAACAGAAUGGAUGAAACUCACUAUUAUAUUCAUUUUAAAAGAUAAAUAGGAUAUAUUUAUGUAAUAUUUCACAUUUGAAAGGAAACAUAGACCGCUAAGUCCAUGAGAAUGCAAGUGGAAUGGUUAAGAACUGCACUGCUCAACACUACUAGAACAAUAAUACAGUUCUAGCAUGCAAAUGCAUUCUUUUCUACCUGAUUAUCAUGAGCAUGCUGUGCCAUAGAGCCAUGGAAUGCGGGAAAAACGAAUUUACAAAUAUGGCAGGUUAAAAUAUAUCUAAUACGUGCCUUUCAACACGACAGCAGAACUUUUAAUGGAAACAUGAAUAAAUGCCACUGUGAAGUAGGCAAUUUCAAAAAUGCCAGUGUAACUGUGAAGUAUGCAUUUUCAAAAUGCCACUGGUUGUGAGGUUGAUAUCUGAGCCCCCACACAUGGCAUUUAUCCGAAUUCACUGUUUUGAUGGGAUAAAAUAUUCAUGCAACCUCACUACCUUAAGUGUCCUGAGAGAAUACUAUCAUAAAAAAUCAAGGUGAUACCUCAGAUCUAGAAUGCAGGAACUAACAUUGAAAAUGCAUAAACUGAAUCCGGAAUGUAUGCUGAUCUAUUAUCCUUCAGAAGUUACUGAAUGGUGGUCACACAGAUGCAUCAACUAUGAUGAGCUGAAUUUAGGAGUGGUAUCACUUAGAGGAGCACAACAAAAUGAAAUGUCAACUAAUCAACUGUAAGACUUAAUCUGAAAUAGUUCCAGAAUUACUGUUCGUAGUGAAUUAGGUAUGGAGCUGUUCGCAGCUGUAUUUGGAUGUGUUAACGGUGGAUGAGUGCUGCUCAAGGGAGAUACACCAUCAACAGGAACCAUAGCAUUAUCAGAGCUCGAAGGCAUUCCAGCUUCAUCCACAUUCUAAAAAGUAGAAAACAGUUAGGUAUCAAGCAGAGAGCCCCAUUUAUCUCUUGAAAUUAACAAUGAUUGAAAUAAAAGUAUUGUGCCUGCACAUCGGCAU
rnacentral:lncRNA from 1 species